CAGGGCAGGGGGGGGCUGUUGGUGCUGGCAGGGGCCUGGCAGCAUUCACAGUGGACAUGGUGAUUAGUUGUGUUCUUUUCUUUUCUGUGGGAGAUGCAUCUGCUGUUUUUGUGUUUCAUUUGAAAUUGCACUCAUACUUUCCUGGGAAGGAUAAAGAGAAUUGUAAAAAUUGUACAUGUAUAAAAAUCAGCCAAUCUGGUGUUAUUUUAUCUCUAUGGGAGCUGUGGAAGGAUCUUGUUUCUGGUUGUUGUUUGUUGGUUUCUUUUUUUUUUUUUUUUUUUUCCUUUUUCUGUUUUUCUUUAUCUCUUGGCAAGGGUGAGAAAUAAUAUUUUUUCCUUCAAUCAAUUUACUCUGAAUUCAGAUAUACGAGCACAUCCAAAAAGCAGUCCAUGAGAACUGCACACACACUCAUACUUCUUUUUUUAUCGAAACAAUUGCCUUGAGAUUACUUUUUUUUUUUUCCCCCCCAGAGGUCGUUAUCAAACAAUUUGAGCCUACAGAAUGGGAAAACCAGGUAAUGGGCAAGAACAUGCACUACAAGUGACUGCAGUUCCUGUUACGAUAGUUGAAAACCCGAAUUUCUUGUCAUCUUCUUCAGCUCACGCAUCCAGCUAUUGUAGCAUAAGUAUUGUCAGUACUGCCUCUGAGCAGUAUGUCGUCCUCCAUGGUUUUCAUAUGUAUGCUGGAACCAACUGCUUUUUAUUUGCUAUGAGCACUACUGAAUGCUUAUAGAAAAUAUGUAGGCUGAAAUCUGAUAAUUGUCUCCCAUCGUUUUUCCAAACUGUCAUUUGUUCACACCUUUUUCCAAACUUUAUCUGUGAAAAAAUUGAGAGAGGAUAGGUCAGACUAAAGAAAAAAAAGAUAUUUUAAUUAGCAGCAGACCUGAAAAAUUCUAGUUUGCAACAUGCUUUACUGAAAUUUCUGUUCCUGUUUCGAGUACGCAGAGCUAUACCUAGGGUAGGGUAAGGUGUUUUACAUGCAUUAUGUGAACAGGGCAACCACUGAAUUUAUUUAAGAAAAAUGUAUUUUUAUGGAGAAUAGCUGUGUACAGAGAAAAUGCAUAUAUUUCAGAAAUAGAUCCGUUCACAGUGCAAAAGCUUCACAUCCUCAGCUAUUUCCCACAUUUUCUGCCAUGUUUUAUUAAACUGGGAACUUUUGAACCUUUGUCUCUGUAGGGAAUUUAAUCAAGUCUGAUUCACAGGAGCGACAGAUACUAUAUCUUGUCUCAAAGUACAGUCUAAUUCUGCCUUGAUGUUACUGCAUAACGUAUGCAUACUUUACACUUAGAUUCCAGAGUGUAUUCUUUUUUUUAGGUAAUAUACUUUUCAAGUACUGGAGAAAAAUCAUCUAAAAAUUGGAAUGUGUGCCAGUCAAAUGAUAGAGAUUAAUAAAGAUUGUUACCCGCAUGAAAAAACGAAACUAAGUUUCUAAGAAGAUAUUACAUUAGCAGAAGUGAGUUAUUUUCUGAAUUCAUUCUCCUGUGAUAAAUUAACUUCUCUUACAGUAUGGACAUUAAAUCAUUUGCAGUUACCUUAUCACAGCUCUGAAAAUCAGUGCCUUUGCUGAGAUUCUUCCAGUGUCCAGCAGCAGGAACACUUAGAAACAGCAUGAGUUGUUUGUAUAAAAAUACUGAGCCAUCUAUGAUCUGAGAAAGUGUCCCUGUACAGUGACUACUUAAGGGAUCAUCUGAGAUUAUUUGCUUUGUAGACCCCUCACCUCUGUAGUUUCUAACUUUAAGACCAAUGACAUUUUGCAGUGACACUUUACAAGCCUACAAUCCUUGCCUAUGCUUGUUUUUUGUUGUUGUUUGUUUGUUUUAGGUAAAGCAUUUAUAUUUUGCCCAGAUCGUGCAUACCGUGGAAGCUUUCCAUGUCACUAUGGCUAAAUAAGACUAUCUAGAUGGGAAAGAAGAUGACUAGAUUCAUCUUACCUACUACAGAAUUUUGACAUUCAUUAACUGAGGUCACUGGGAGGAGGACAGAUGAACAGAUAGGGCAGGACACAUUUCAGUACUUGUUGACAGGCACUGAACCUUGGGCUUUCUUCAUUUGUUUGCAAAUCAUCUUUGAACAUACUGAUUCUGUUUCCUUUACAAAGUAAUUAAAUAAUCAAACUAUUGCUGAUGUAUUUUCAGAAUCCCAUUCACAACUCUUGUAUUUUGUUUACUUACUGAAAAUGGCUGGUAUAUGUUAGGAUCUGACAGUCUCUCAGAUUCAUCUGAUGCAUAUUUUUUUCUUAUUUUAUACACUUCAUCUUUGUGCUUUUUAUGAAUUGUACUGCUGUAUGAGGUUGCAAGUCAGGAGCAUAAUACCAAUCAUAGAAGGAUCUUCCUUAUUUCUCCCAGUUCUACCUACGUUCAUUUGGAAUAAUCCAGCUCUGCUUUAGAGAGUGCAUAAAUUGCUAGAUGGGGAUACCCAGUCCUCCCAGCACAAAGUAUGAAAUCACGUAUUCAACCCAUUCAUUUUAUUUACGCUUACUCUGAGCAACUGAACUACAACAGCCUUAUGAGGAAACAUUUAAAAACAAAGCAACGACAGCAUAAAAAACAACAACAAAAAACCCCUCAACGCAUCAUAUAUGACUGACAGAAAACAACUUAUGCGUAGAUAUAAUUAUAGACUGCAAGUAUCAAGGAAAGGCAGUGUUUAGUGUGGUCAAAGGGACAAUCUGAAAAAAAGAAGAGGUGAUGCUUGUUACUUUGGAAUUCUGUAUUACCAAUAAACUAACCUUUAGCACUACAUAAUUUUUUAAUGCAAAUGUUGUGAUGUAGAACACUACAUAGCCUUUAUAAUUGAAUUAAUAUGUGUGACGUUUUAUGUUCUUUAUGUACUUUUUGUUAGUUUAUAGAUCUGUUUGGGCAAAUAAUGUUUUAUUAAAUCUUGGAUACAAGAUCAAAUUCUUCAAGGAUCUGCAAAAGAAAAAAAGAAAGACUAGAGAAAAAAAGUCGGUUAGGCUGUUCUGAACAGAUUAACUUCAUGCAGAUUAUUUCUCUCUUAGAAAGGUACUACAGUGAUAUCUUAAAUACUGAGUACUUGCACCAUUUCCAAGAAACUCUUCAGGCUUUCUGGUAUUUUCAGAACUAAUAAGCUGAGGGCCUAAUAUUUAGAGAAAAACAUAAUUGGAGGAAAUGUUUGCAACUGUCAUAUAAGUGCUGCUCUGAAAGUAAUGCCUCCUAUUUUAUUAUGCUGGCUCAUAAUGUCAGAGGCAGAUGGUGGUGGUAUGUCAGUAGAUGCUGAACCUUCCUGAUAAUAUUGCAUUACAUGUUGUUGCUGUGUGACAGAUGGCAGCAGAGGGGCAGUCUGACAAAACGGUGUCUGACAUCAAAGUGUAUGUGAAGAAAAGGUGUCAUUGAAUCCCUCUAUGCUAUAAUGGGUGCUAUAGAAAAAAAUAGCACCUAUUGAUAUUCAUCGAUGCUUGCUGAAUGUUUAUGGAGACCAAACAGUAGCUGUGAGCACAGUGAGGUAGAGGGUGAUGUGUUUCAGCACUGGUGACACCGACAGUGGGUCACCUUUGCUGGUGCUGAUUUUUAAGAGUGCAACAUGCAGACUCUUGUUCAUCACUGGCUAAAAUGUAUAGUUAAAGAUGGUAAUAAUGCUGAAAAAUAGUGUUUUGUGAUUGAGCAUUUGCCUUAUCAAUUUUUUGUAACUAAUGAAGCUCCAAAGAAAAUCAGAGAAUCUAUACUUUCUCAUUCCUAAUCACAAGACUUUUCACUACUUUUACUACACUGAGAACUUCACUUGAAUUUGGGUAAUGUCCUAUAUUUUUCAUAGUAUGGUCAUAAAAACAUACGUGUACACAGGCAUUGUCUUUGCAAGACAAUGCAAUCGAAUAGGAGUAGAAAUUUUGUAAUAGAUCAGUGCAAUUAGUGAGUUUAGAGCCUUUAGUUUCAUCAUACCAUUUGUUGGUGUUUUGUGUAAGGGUACACUGGGUACAACUAGCUUAAGCUGAUUCCUUACCACUUGAGGCAAAGCCAUUAUGAAAAACAUCUUAAAUAUAUGUCCACAUCAAAGUGUUCCUGUAAUUUAACAAAAUCAAUUUCCAAACUGUUUUUUCUCAUGCAUUCCAAAUCCAAGCCUGGAAAUAGUUCAGUUUUCCAACCGAGCUUUCAACUGGUGUGUUAAAAUUAUUCAACACCACCGUAAAGACCUUGAUCUGUGGGAGAAGAAAAUAAACAUUUGCAUAACAGACAAAACUAUGCCCAGCAGAAAAGCCAGGAUUCAUUGCGCGUGAACUGAGAGGACCUUCUAGGACCUGAUUACAAGCUGAAGGGUGUUCCAGUCCUACAUACUGCAUGGCUGAUUUGUAACACACAGUGUCUCUUGAAAGACCUGAUCCAAAUUCCUCUGAAAUUCAGACUGACGUCUCUACUAUGGGCUGCUCUUCCCUGAGUUCAGUGGUUGCUCAUUUCUACAGUAAUACUGGGACUCCUGAAAUAAGGUAAUGCCAACAUAGGCCUGUCUAUUUCUGAGGAGGAAUUGGGCUGCAACAGCAGCGCUGAGAAGACAAAUACACAAGUGUCCCAGGGAGGCUCUGUUCUAGAACCAGUUCUCCAUGGUACUGAAAAUUGGUUUUCCCUUUCUGGGCUUCUUGGAGUCUUGGAGUGUAUGUAGAAAGACUGUCAUUCUACAGGAUGAAUGAUGAGGGCGUAGAGGAAUGAUUUCUGAACACAUUGUCUCUGUGCUUAAGCCACCAGCAGUCAAAGCUAGGAUAUGGGUCAUUCUUUCAUCUGGGGAUAACUUACCUAAAGUACUGAAAAAGCGACCCAGAAUCAACUUUGCUGUCUCUGGAUAAUUCUGUUCUCUGUUUCCAAUGCUCUCUCUCACAAUGCAGGCUAGAAUCAAGGCUGGCUCCUUCUUGUCUAGACCUCUGGCAUAAUAUAAUAAGCUGUACCAAAGCACCACAUGCAGACUUCACUGUGGGCUCUAAUCUAAUUUAGGAUCUUCUUAGUAGUCAGAUCUUCAGAGAAUCUGCUUUAAAAGCUUGAAGUCUCUUAGAAAAAUAGCACAUUUUUUUAUUCACUAGGCUUCAAAAAAUUCAACAUGCAUUUUCUGUAAUUUAUUCAAAGAUUCUCAGUUGUGGCUUUUUUUUUUUCUCUCUCUGCCUCCCUGAGUUAGAUACUCCUUCCAUUUCUAAUGAAGUAUUAAGAUGGGCAUAAUCUUAGAAUAUCAAACAAAUGAUGGGCCGAAGAAGAAUUCUUGUUAUUCGUAUUUUGAAAGAGGAGAUGAGGCCUGCUAGAGUAAAGAUAGUAUUUUUAGAAAUGACUGAAUGGCAGAAAACUCAUGAGUUGAAAACUGAGUAAGAACUCAUGGAGAUAGUACUGUGUUUUGUUGCGAACUAAAAUGAAUUUGAGAAUACUCGUGUAAUUUAAGGUAGACCCCUGUUUUCUCAUGGGGUGAAUUUAACCCUAAUGAGAAUUUUCAUGACAACAAAUGAGGUUAAACACGCGUUACCUCAUUACUGCCUGAGUCCUAUGUCUCUGCACGUCCACUCAGAGAUGCCAUCUGCUAGAAUAUGAGAAAAAAUGAAUGCAAACUAUUAGAAAUGUAGCUCAAAGAACAUCAUGUGAAGAUUGUAUUUAUAACUCAUCGGAUUUAUAUUAGAAAUUAUUUAAUCACUGCAAUCUUCAGUAGAAAAGAUACGCGUUGCUUUUAUUUUGUUUCUGUAUUUUCAAGUUUUCAGAUGUUUCAUCCCAGAUGAGAAAUUACAAAUAGCUAGCUUGGAAGGAAAUGAAAAGGAGAUAACACAGGCAUAAUACUAGAAAGUAAACACUUACAAAUGCUGUUGAAGAUUAUGUACUUCAGCAUUUGAGAAGAAAAAGAGAGAAUGGUGAAGAUUACAUCUUCCAAUUCCACUUUUCUACCCGAAGUGCACCCUCCAGCCACUAAAACAUCCUCCACGCUGCAGUUCAGCCUUAGUUUACUCAUAGAGCAUUUGAAUGUAAUGAAUAAGGAGAGACAUUUUAGUAAGCGUGAUUGACGCACACAGACAGAUCUUGCUGUCUGCCAAAUUCACUUGGUGCCCUGUAACUCAGAAGUGACCAGAACUGUGUGAUGGAGAAUAAACUCUCCACAUGAGAAAUUUUCACUGGCACAGAAUUGCCAGCUGCAGACAUUUGGAAAUCACAGCUCACACCUCAGAAGACUGCCACUGGGCUUUAAAAAUAUGACACAUAUCUGGAGUAAUAUAUUUUUGUGGUUUUGCAUUUCCAUUUCAGGUUUGGAGACCUUCUCUUGUUCAAGCUUUCUUCUGUAUUUAUUUUCUUAAAUGAGAGCUGAUAUUCUUUUGAAGUUUUAUGGUCCAGCAGCUGUUCUCCAUGCAUGCUAGUAGAAACUGUAAGGCUUGGCACAGAGUUGCAAGAGUUGGCCAUAAGUCUGGCACAGUAAAGGCAGGAAAACCCCUAUCAGGUGUAAGAUAGAAGACUGGUAACAGGAAUGUCAGGCUGCAAUGAAAUAUGCUGGAGAAAAAUGAGGGAGAGGAUGAACUGGACUGGUUUCACUCUUUUUACUGACAAGAGCAUGGGUUCUGCCUCCUGAACCCUACAACUCACAGGAGGUUCAUAGAGAGACAUCAUUCCUCCACCAGAUCAUGGUUUUGCUAUCUAUCUUGAUCUCUCUUCCCCAUGCAACCCAAACAGGAAGGGAGGAUGUAAAAGGCACUGACACGUUAUUAAAUGAAAAAUGUUCAGAAGAGGUCAGGAACAAAAUCUCAGGGCUGUUUAAAGUUGCUUGAUUGCUGUCUGAGUAGCAAAUAAGGCAACCAUACAAAGGUCACUAUGUCUCAUCCUAUUACAUCAGUGCCCUUUGAAAGUACAUUGUGUCCCUUCAAGUUGUGUCACAUCAAGAGCUGGUUGAGUGCUUCAUUGUGACUGAUAUUCAUUGCUAAUUUAACUUUCUGUUACUGGUACAUUAUUUGUGAAAUUAUUCUUGUUUCGGGAAGCACGUUUCUUAUUUGCAGGAGCGUAUGAACGCCUUGCAGAUGCUCCCUUUGCUCCCUUUGACUGUUCCUGUUGUUGGGGUGGUCACGUAAAACACGUGUCUCCUCCUUCUCUUUUUGUGAUCAGAUGACCACAGUGGAAGAAUAGGCAGAAGAAUGGGAUUACCCAAGCAUUUCUAAAUUUUAAAAAGGUAUGGGUUAAAAGAGUGAAAAAAAGAAAAUGUCAAACAAGCCUGAGUAUUACAGCUGACAAUGAGCAUGAAUGUGGAGGAUUUUCAAUGCUGACUGUACUUUCCAUACAUGGUUAUGAGCUGGUUUUCGGUUUUGUUUGUUUGGGGCUGGCUUGGGUGUUUCUGGCAUUUUAAGGGAUUUACAUCCCUUAAAAUGUUGUAUUAGGAGUAAGUCUCAGAAUUCUCCACUAGAGGACACUCUCUUCUUUUAAAUGACAUGCUUAGUACUCAGCUGAGUGAACGACGAGUUCUCAGCUAUGAGACCUACCUCCUUCGGUCCUACCUCCCUGAGUUUAUAAAAAUGUACGAAUGAGGUCAGUGCUGAGGGACUUGUGUGAAGUCUCAAAUGUUCAAUCUCCAGCUUGGAAUGGAAAAAGAUUUUUAAAGCAGCAUCCAGUCCAAUUAGCUAAGCUGCAAGGUUGAACCACAGUGGAAAAUCUCACUCUGCUUUGACACGUAAUAUUUUAUACAUAUCAAAAUAUCAAAAAUAUCUUGGCAUCGUUAUGUCAUUUACAGUAAAAAAUUUAUCAAACGUGAUUCUCACUCAUGGUGGAAACACAGUUUUAUUUUUACUUAGCUGAAUGUGAGAAAGUUAGUGCUGAAUAUAAGCUAUUGAAUCAUCGGGGAAUUAAUGUGUUACUUUUUCUUAGGGUCCAUUUUCAUGUCAGACCUGCCCCACUUUAAUGGGGAAACGCAUAUAAAAGGGCUGAUUCCACUCGUUUAUAUGCUUGUACCUGGCUUUGUGCUUCCUUUGCCUUUUCUCUUUCAGACCUAACGAUUGCACAGUUGCAAGGUGAGCUGGAUUAAUCAGGUGGCUCAACAGAGAACAAAACCACCAAAACAGUCGGAUGGGCUAUUUUGAGUCAAAGCACUAGGUAGGUCUUCUGCAUGGGAGUUGGAGGCACACAGCUGGGAGAAAAAGGCAGGAGGAGGACUUUUCUGCAGCAGCUCUUUGCCUUUGCACCAGGCUGGCUGCAACAUGAUAUCACACAUUUUCAGGCCACUAAAAAUGUCAUGCAAACACCACUUUGGUUUUUAUUUGUUUUGUUUCUGAAACUGAAGUUAGGUCACAUCCUGGCUUCUGAUCUGUAACGUUAGAAUCAUGUAAUCUCUUGGAGUUCACUGGGUUCACAGCUGCUACAAAACAGGUGGCCUGAGAGAAUUAGACCAAUAAAAGAAGUCAGAAAGUACCUGGCAAAGGUAAUUAUGUGGCAACUUCUUCUAAGAGAGGGAAAAGAAGCCAACUUUCUGACAUCCAAAAGUAUUCCUCUGAGGUGUUGUUCAACCUAGACCAAAACUUUCCAUUGUCCUGAUGCUUUCCAGACCAGCAUAAGACACUGAGCUGAGCUUGGAGAGCCCUCUGCAGCUAAGCUCUCAGCCCAGAAAUCCCUCUGAAGACCUUCAGAAAAGCCAUGUUCCAGUGCUUCUUUAAGCUAUGUCUUGGUAUGUGCUGCUGCUUCUUUUUCAGUUUCUCUUUCUGUCUUUCACUCUGGUGUUGUUCAGCAAAAUCUCCCUGACUAUUCCUGCUUUUGUUUUGAGGAGUGACAUGCUGUAGCACUUCACUUCUGUCUUCUUAUAUAUCAGCACCUGAUUGCCAUGCUGGAAAGCAAUGAUUUUUUCAGUUGCUAUAAUCAAACAUAGUAUUACAUCCCAUCAUUGUCAGUGAAGCAUGAGAGACUCUAUAUUAAUACUUAACCUCUUAUAUUGUGCUCAUGAAAGACAGAUGGGAAAAGAGAAAUGAGAAGCAGCUCUACAAAAUAUGGCCCAGAACAAAUACCACAAAGAAGCUCACGCAGUGCUUUCUGUACCUUGUAGUGGCUUCACUUUAUUUGCUGCUGUUCCCAAUUGUUAGCUGAACAUCUGUAAUACCACCACCACCACCAACAUACUCUGCAUCAUCUAAUGCCAAGCAUAUAUACAAGCCCUCCCAAAUCCUAAUGACUUUUUGCACAAUAAAAGGCCACAGGACAGAGCCUUUAGCUAUGGGUACUGUUUAGGGCUUAGUGGGAUUUUUUUAUUACUGGAAUCUUCUGAGAGAUUUUGGUUCAUUCACAUCACAUCUGUCCACUCCAGAUGCAGGUGUUGUGUUUGGGCUCUGAUGCUGCAAUGAGUUGAAGCCCACAGGCUUUGGCAGUUCCCAGCAGAAAAUAUAUGUGAAGACCUCUUUGCUCCUAUGCACAGGUUCAGAGAUCUGCCUGUGGAGGACAGGGAACAUCCAUGUACAGAAAUUAGGAAGCUGAGGUAAAUUACAGUCCAAAGAUGGUGUUAAUUACCUCAAUCAACUAAUACUGAGAAUCUGUAGUCUUUUGUACUUACUGAUCUCAGGUCAGUGUCAUAAGAAUAGCUAAAUAAUUGCUUCUCUGAAAGGUUUAUGUAGUAUUUGGAUGGAAUUAACCUAAAUUUAACUGUCUAAAAAUGAACUGUCUAUUCUAUACCUAGACUCAACAAAGAGGAAGACACCCUCAGCAAUGACACACCUCAUUGCAUAUUGCAUCUGCCUUGGAAAAGGAUGAGUUGUCCUCUGGAAUUGCUUUAACACUCAUUUAUAUCUAAUAUAAUAGCUUAGUCUAGGUGUUUACAUUAAGAAAAUGUGAGAUGUUUCUUAACACUGGCGUGCAUUUACAUUGCAUUUACAGAAACAAUCUUGCUUAGGUACCAGAAGCAGUCUGUCCGUAGUCUACAUGUGAAGAACAUUUCUGCCACUCUGAAUUUGAAGACUUAGAGGGGUAAAAUUAUAACUACCUUGGAUCAGAGUCUUUGCACAGCGGUGUUGUGGCUUUAAGCCUCAGCUAUUUAUUGCAACAGUAGGGGAUGAUUCCGCAUUCUGUAUCGAUUUGAAGAUAUUGCCUUUGAUUUUAGUUGCUAGUUGCUAUACUUGAGAUAACAAUUAGUUUAGGGAUAAGAGGCAAAAUAUAGAAAUAUUUUACAGUAGAGUAAAAUAUUACUUAUUUUUUAUGAGAAUCUUUGUAGUAUUUCAUGUAAUUGAUCUUAAUUUUGCCAAUCAUUUAUGGGAGGCACUUUUUAAAACACUUCUACCGUAAGGUUUUUCUCUGUGUUCUUCUAACACCUCUGGAGUUAUUUGUUUGUGAUCAUAAAAAUUGGUAAAAAGAGAGCAGCGGGCAUCAGAGCUGAUAUGUGAAGUGCCAAUCAACUUUUGGAUCAUCAUUUGCUAUGACAGCAGUGGGAAGGAAGAAGAAUGGUGGUCACCAAUUUAUUUUAAUGUGUCCUGCAACCUUGUGAUUGAUUAGAGAAAAAACAGAUUGUUUCAUCCUUUUUCCACAAUUGGAUUUUCUGGUUAAAUCCAGAACUGCCGAAGUGCAAUAAAACACUCCCAUGAAAGCAGUAAUCUCCCUAAAUCUUCAAAUUCCCCCCGCCUCCCCAAACCUCAUUUCAUACACAAACAUGGAACAAAAUGAUGUAUAAAAGCAGCAAAAGUGAUUACCAUCAGCAGAGUUUCCUUUUUAAUGUAUUAGACCUUUAAUCUUUUAUUAAGUGUUGGCCAUUAAAAUUAUUAAACUGCAUCCCCUCCUCCUGACAACGUACAGUUUUUGAAUGAAUUGACUAAGGUACUUAAAAAUAUAUACUGUGUUGUUUCUACGGCUCUGUUGGUCUGUAUUUUUAAGAGUAAAUUUUGCAUUGCUUAAUGAGGUCAUCUCAUCCCUUUCUUCAAAGCUGGUGGCUCCUGGCGGCUGUAGGAGCUGCAUCUCCCCUCCGUUCUCAUGGAAGCGCAGGGAUCCAGGAAGCUCCUCUGGAUGAUGGUUAUUUCCUGGCCUCCCUUCCGUGACCUAUGACCGAUGAUGACCUUUAGCUAGAGAAUGUGACAUUUUGUUCUCCUCUGGCUGACAUGUGAUGCCCUCAUUAUUCAAAGGGAUGUCUCAGGGAGCACUGACAGUUUCCACCUUCCCUUCUUCCACCCAACAGACACCAUAGUGCCAUUUGGACUGGAGUGGAAAGGUGCAGACUGGAUUUCAUCCUGAUCUAAAGUACAGGCAAGGCAAGAAGCCAGCUCCGCGUCCCACAGUUUAGACAUAGCUCGUCAAUUCAUUAAGCAAGUGAAUGUCUUUUAAAUAACCACAUACCCAGCCCAGCUGUCUGUGAAUCAGUGGCAGAAUAAUUAAUAAAGUUCCAAAUAAAAACAAG